rfam:Bacillus sp. JCM 19045 DNA, contig: contig00023.
AGGGCUGUAUCUGCUAGAACGGCACCCAACUGAAAUGGGAUAUAGCGUCCGCGUACCGCUUGGAUUCGUAAGAACCGAGACGAUAAU